GGGUCAGUAGGUUGGUCGUGCCACCGGUACGUACUGGUCUCACUGAUCCCUCCUUCCUGAAGAACCGUAAUGCCAUUAAUUUGGUGUUGCGGGGAAACAGGACUGUUACUUUGAAAAAAUUAGAGUGUUUAAAGCAAGCUAACGCUUGAAUACAUUAGCAUGGAAUAAUGUAAUAGGACGAUCGAUCCUAUUUUGUUGGUUUCUAGGAUUGACGUA
rnacentral:rRNA from 1 species